CUGGUCUACAGAGAGAGUUCCAAGACAGCUAGGACUGUUACACAGAGAAACCCUCUCUCAACCCCUCACCUCCCAAAAGAGUCAUGCAGACUUCCUUUGUUGGUCUCCUAUCUACUAGGUAAAUUGGAUAAAAGAAGGGGCAAUGGUGGUGUCAGCCUGCUGCUUCUCACAACUGGGAGACUGAAGGGUAAAGAAAACCCAAAUUAUAUCUGUAUCAAAGAGCCCUUCCCGGAACUGCAAACCCUGGACUCUAUGAGAAAGGUCAGGGAAGAAAACAGAAAAGAGUGAAGUAGUGGCCACAGAAGAUGCCCCUGGAGUCUGGCCUUUGAAACAGAAAGGGAAAGUCCAUACUCAAGUAUGUAGCUGUGGAUGCUGGAUGCUUCAUGGUGGAAAUUGCUGGCCAGAUGUGCCAGCCCGUGUUGCAGUAGUGGAGUGAGUGGCUAUCGAUGGAACCAACCUUUUGAUUGGACUCACAGGCCUGCUUUACCAGGGGGAAAUUCACAGAUGCUACUGGGGACUUAGCCAAAAGCCUGUGACCAGGGAGGUCAUGGGGUUCCAGUGGAGAAGCAACCACUAUUGCUUUGUUAAGUGAUGUACCCGGAGGAGGAAUUUCCCCAGACUCACCUGGAACACAGCAACUUGACUCCUAGUUACCAAACUUGGAUAUGAACACGUCCUCGGGAAUGGAGGAGUGGCUUCUUUGGAGGAGUGGCUUCUUUGGCGGAGCUAAAUGAACUGGACAUAACCUGGGUUAACAGAUGGACACAGUGUGCAAAUUGGGACCAGCCAAACGGAGAAAGGGCAAAGCCUGGGAGUGUUUUCAAUCCAAAGCUUCCAUAUGAUCGGUGUGACACACCCUCCCUUCCAGGACAUCGAUUAUGAUGGCAUGCAGGCAGACAUGGCGUUGGAGAGGUAGUUGAGAGUUCU